UGACCCGUCUUGAAACACGGACCAAGGAGUCUUGAGUAUGUGCGAGUCAUUGGGUUGUAAACCUAAAGGCGCAAUGAAAGUAAAGGUUGGCACUCGAUCAACUGAUAUGGGAUCCGUGUGCUUGCAUGCGGCGCACCAUAGCCCCGUCUCGACGGCUUGCCGUGGGGCGGAGGAAGAGCACAUGCUCAAGGACCCGAAAGAUGGUGAACUAUACGUGAGCAGGGCGAAGCCGGGGGAAACCCCGGUGGAGGCCCGAAACGAUUCUGACGUGCAAAUCGAUCGUCUGACUGGCGUAUA
rnacentral:rRNA from 1 species